GUCCUUUGUUCCACGCGGUGUCGUUAUGUCUCUUUGGAUUUUGGGCUUGCUGCGGAUCCUGUUAAGUUCUGUUUUGAAGAUGCCUUGUAAUCAGGACUAUCCUGUCAUCCAGAACCUCACCUGCAUGGUGUGAGCAGCAGGUGCAGGUUCUACAGUUGCUGCUCAUCAAGGAUCAUCAGGAGGAGCUUAAAGAGGGAACCAGCUCCAUAAAAUGAAUCCAACCUUUGACAUCUGAGUCCUGGGUAACAAUGGUCCCCUUCCUUGUUCCUAGUUUCUGUUUGGAGGAAACCAACCCAGAUUCUUCUCCUUUCCUUUCCAUUGCUCCUAUGGCAGCCCUCCUGGUAACAGCUCUAUGGAUUCCUAUAGCCAUUCUCGCUUCACUCACCUGCCUGUCCACCCUUCAACGUUCCACCAAUCCUAAUUGUCUACCUGAAAGAAAAAGGGAAACAUUACAACACUGCCACACACCCGUGUCCUGCCAACCUCAGUUCUGUGGAUUGACUCCCUUUCUCUUGGGACUCUGAUCUGAUCAGCACCAGUGAGAUCCUACUUUUGCAAAUCACCUACCUCUCAACCUGGUGCUGUGCUGGAACCCAGCAACUAAAUCAGCAGAACCUCAUCUUUGUACAUGUGAUAUAUGACACAAUAAACCUAUUUUAAACUGUUA